AUUUUGGCGAGCAGCGCGGAGCCUGGAGGAGCUGCAGAGCCACAGGAGGAACACGCAGCCAGAAGAGGUCCACUUGGACCGGAGAGGAUUCACAAGCGCCUGCAGCUCCACCUGCCCGGCCAGCAGAGGUCUCGUGACACGAUGACAUGAUGUUAUUAUAGUGAAGCCAUAUUGUAAAUAGUCUGUCAAUAGUUGUGUUCUGUUUUCUAUUUCUCAACAUGUAUAUAAUGUAGAUUUUUUUUUUAAAUGUACAAUACAUAUUUAUUUUUACAAAAAUAAUGUAAUGGUCAUGUUUUAUUUGCACACACCCCAUGAAACUUUAUCUGCAAUAUGAAGUAAUUUCUCAGUCCCAUCUUUACCAUUUUGGUGAAUGUGUGACAGACCACAUCAGGAAGACAGGAUCCUAAAGGACUGCCAUCAUCAGCCUUCAGCCUGGUCACCCCCUGCCUCUGGAAGGCGUCCCGUAGGAUCCGGUCUCGCACACAGAGACUGGAGAACAGUUUCUUCCCGAGAGCCAUCAGGCUGCUCAAUGGACACCGACACACGAUCGACACUUUACACUCGUCACUUUACACACACUGUCACUUUCAGCCUUGUACUGACACUUACACUUUCUAUUGCACUACCUGCUUUCACUUCCUGCUACUCCCAUUGUCUGUAGUCUAGUUAUUAUGUGUAUUAUAUGUAUAUAUGUUAGUAUUAUGUUCAGAGUUCUUGUACAGUGUGUAUGUCAUGUUAUGUUAUGUUAUAUUAUGUUUGCUAUGGUAGUUGUCGUGGUGCCUUGUCCUAAGAAUUUCAGUGCCCAGUCUGACCCUGUGUCAUUCUGUGCAUCUGACAAUAAAAGACUUGACUUGA